rnacentral:rRNA from 1 species
ACUCCUACGGGAGGCAGCAGUGGGGAAUCUUCCGCAAUGGACGAAAGUCUGACGGGGCAACGCCGCGUGUACGACGAAGGCCUUCGGGUUGUAAAGUACUGUCUUCAGGGACGAACGGUAUCUAUGUGAAUAAUGUGGGUGCAUGACGGUACCUGAGGAGGAAGCCCCGGCUAACUACGUGCCAGCAGCCGCGGUAAUACGUAGGGGGCAAGCGUUGUCCGGAAUCAUUGGGCGUAAAGGGCGCGUAGGCGGAUACUUAAGUCUGGUGUGAAAACUUAG